GCUCACGCACGUAGCACGUAAACAUGCACGAUUUAUGCAGGGUUGAUUAGGGUUUAGGUAGCUCACGGAAGAAUAUACAGGGUUGAGUUUAGGUAGCUCACGGGAAGAAAGAGACUUGUAUGGAAAACAAUGAUUUUGGUAUAUAAAUACGUCGUUUCACUUUCGACAAUCAAACCACCUUCAUCAAACCACCUUCAGACUCGAUCGGAGGCUUUCUAUAAUUGGAAACGAGGAUGUCGACAACCAUCAUGUGGUGUACUGUGAGCGGAGUCGGACCGGGCAAUAGAGCUCGGACAGAUCCGAUGAAGCUUCGAUAUGCACGGUCAACUUGAUGGUUCUUCCAAACAUAUUGAACUCAAGUCCCUCCGUUCGAGAAAUAUCACUCUCCUUACUCCCUUCGAACGGUAACCAUGAAAAUGGCUGCAAAUCCAUCGAGGUAAAAUCCUUCCUUUCUCUGCCAUCUGAUUUCAUGACCUCCGAGGUCAGAUGAAAUCAACCUUGACUUCAUGCAUGCGUCCGAUUAUCUGUCUGAUGCUUGUAUGCUCUUUGCCAAGGAAAUGGUCAAUCCGAUGGAUCUGCAAACAUAAAAAAGAGGAAUCCUCUCGGAAAUGACAGAUUCUGUCUGAUGUAUAGAUGACUGGAAUAAUAAAUGGAAAAAAACACAGAUCUGCAUCGAUACUCAACAGAACCACCGCCACCACCAGGCGCCGCCGCGGCGUUAAAUUCUGGGCCUCCAACGUACGGCUUCCUUUUCUAAAACCCUCUCUACUCAAGGUAAGUUAUUCUAGGUUUUAGUCCAUUUUCAGAUCAUCCCCAAUUUCGAAAUUUUAGGGAAUUGAUUCGUUUUCCUGUUGCAUGUUUAACAUUCAUCUGGGUGAUGGUGGUUUGAGGGUGUACGAACUGGAAUUGCUGAUGGUAGGCUUGAAUUUGGCCAAAUUUGGCUAUUCAUACUCUGAUCACAAUUGCUGAGAGUGUCAAGAGCAAUGGAGUUGCCGUUGAAAAGAGCAUAAGCACCUCUAUUUUUGUCUCGAAGCUGGAUGGCGAAGAUGGACGGAUUGUGCUGAAGGCUCAGUUGGUGAUUUUGCUGGGAAAGGCUGAAGAAGUCGAGGAGACUGCAGUUCCUGUGGUUGCAGCGUGAAGGCAUAUAUGAUUCAGCAGAGUUUGAGUUGAAACUUGGAUGAUGAGUUAUAGCUGGGUAAUUCAUUAGAAUAAUAAGGAUGUGUCUAUGAGAGACAGGUUUAGCACUUUGCUUCCUAAUGCAUGUUUUCUACAUGUCCUUUGAUAUAAAUAAUGAGGUUUUUUGCAGCUCACAGCUCUCUCUCUCUCUCUCUCUGCUCACACACGCACACAGAAACAACCACAUUGUUAGAAAGUAGAAGAAACACUGGAAUUUAGUGAGUCUGAAACGUUAAGGUUGACAUUUAGGGUUCUCUUUCUUUCAGAGGCUAGAAGAUAUCUGGAUCUGCUUCAAAUUUCAAUUUUUGUGCCCAGAUUUGAGUGCCCUGUACGGUUUGUGUUGUGCUAAAAGCAUGAUUGUUUAUGUUGGAGUGGUUUAAGGGAAUGUCCAACUGAGUUGGGCAGUUUUUGUUCAUUUUGUUCAGGUGAGCAUCUUUGGAGGUAUUGUGGGUAUAUACCGUAUAUUGUCCGAAUUGGGGGUUUUAAAGUUGAAAUUUAAUCUGGGAUUCUGAAUUUUUUUUACAACUAAGUAAUUUGUUUUGUGAAAUUAGAUACUUUUUUGUGAAUUUUUUUUUAAUAUAUUGUUGUGGUAGUUAAGGUAAUUUACGCAUCUAAAAAUGCUCGAGAGUUGAAUGUGACAAAGUAAGCAGAUCAGCAUGUAAACCUGAAACCAAGAAGCUCAAACCCUGAGAAUUUGAUGCAGUAAUAACCUUAGUUAUGCGACUCAAAAUCUGAGGCAGCUUCUGGAUACUCAGGAAGGGAACAAAUAAAAUUAAAGGCAUCAAGUUACAGAUCCCUGAAGGCUCCGAACCAGUUCAGAUAUGUCUGAAUGCUAAAAGCUUCUCAAAGAUGAAAAAUCUUCAAGUACUUUUUGUAAAUAGUAAUGUGCGCCUAUCUGGAGAAAUUGAUUAUCUCCCUAACGAGUUGAGACUCCUUCAUUGGCAUGAAUAUCCAUCACAAGUUUUGCCCAAAUGGAAGUUGCAGCCGCGUCACAGCCUUCGAAAUAUACAUGUAUAGGUUAUAAGUAAUUAGGAGAACUAUAUACAAUUGUUAAGGUAAAGGCGGAUCCCUAGUGUUUUCUUAACUUGAUUUCUACAAAACUAUUCCAUUUUUCCUCAUCUU